rnacentral:rRNA from 1 species
AUUGAACGCUGGCGGCAGGCUUAACACAUGCAAGUCGAACGGAGUGGCGCACGGGUGUGUAAUGUAUAGCUAAUCAUCCCUACACCCGAGUACUACAGUUUGAACCGACUGCUAAUACUCUAUAGUGUAGGAUCAGGCUAUAUUGUAUCAGCUAGUUGUUGAGUUAAUGGCUCAGCAAGGCUAUGCCGAAUAACUGGUCAGAGAGGAUGAUCAGUAACACAGGAACUGAGGAACGGUACAGACUCGUACGAGAGGGAGCAGUAGGGAAGAUUGAUAAAUGGGGGUAACGCUGAAGAAGAAACGCCGCGUGGAUGUUGACAGUUUUCGGAGCGUAAACUCGUUUUGUACGGGACGCGGUACCUAACGAAUAAGCACCGGCUAACUCCGUGCCAGCAGCCGCGGUAAUUC